GUUUCAUUUUAAUUUAAAUUAAAAUUUUAUUUUUUAGUUAAAAAGCUAAAAUUUUAUUAAAAGACGAGAAGACCCUAUAAAUCUUUAUAUUUAUUUUUAUUUUAAUUUAUAAAGAUAAAUUUUAUUAUAAUUUGAAUAAAUAUUUUAUUGGGGUGAUAUUAAAAUUUAAAUAACUUUUAAUUAUUAAAUUACAUUGAUUUUUGAAUUAUUGAUCCAUUAAUAAUGAUUAAAAAAUUAAGUUACUUUAGGGAUAACAGCGUAAUUUUUUUGGAGAGUUCUUAUUGAUAAAAAAGUUUGCGACCUCGAUGUUGGAUUAAGAGAUAGUUUUAAUGCAGAAGUUAAAAUAUAAAGUCUGUUCGACUUUUAAAUUCUUACAUGAUCUGAGUUCAAACCGGUGUGAGCCAGGUUGGUUUCUAUCUUUAAUUAUUACAUAAUAUUUUAGUACGAAAGGAAUUUAUAUUAAAAAUAAUUUUUAUAUUGAAU
rnacentral:rRNA from 1 species